GGAGAAGAGGAACCCUAAUUGAUUCAGAAAGAGAGAGAGUACUGAAAUGUGAGUAUGUGACCAUUGGAGUCACCUCAAUAAGUGGCGUUCCCGCUUCUUUUAUUUUACCCAAAACAAAUAUUAAAAAGUUCGUGAAAAAGAAGAAUUGGUGGAAAUUUAAAUCCUACUGAUGUUCACAAGCUUGGUAGGCCCUGUUCGUGUACUAGUCGCCAGUGACUAGCGACUGCGACCAGCGACCAUCAACUGCGAUC